AAGUGAGGUGCAUGGAACGUUUUGCCCAGCAGUGUAAUAUGACCCCAACAGUGACUUCUGGAGGAGCAUAAGUACGUAGUGAUCCAUCUUAGCGGAGGGGCAUUUGCAUACACAUUUGGUGCCAUGUGUAAAUUUUGCAUCAAAUUAAUCGAAAACCCAAAACAAUCAAUGCAUCAGUAACACAGUGUUCUUGCUGAUGGAGUCCUCUAUCUAUACUCUGAUAUAGCAAAUUACUGUAAGAAGGCCAGAAGACUAGAAGAACAAUAGAUUCUUAAUGCGGGA